GGUUAGGUUGAUCGGGUUGAAGAC
rnacentral:miRNA from 1 species